rnacentral:tRNA from 1 species
AAUAAGAUGCCUGAAGUUAAAGGAUUAUUUUGAUAGAAUAAACUAUGUAAUUAAUUUACUCUUAUUA